rnacentral:tRNA from 1 species
GCCCGCCUAGCUCAAUUGGCCAGAGCGUCAGACUUUUAAUCUGAAGGCUGCGGGUUCGACCCCCGCGGUGGGCU